rnacentral:rRNA from 1 species
CCUACGGGAGGCAGCAGUGGGGAAUAUUGGGCAAUGGGCGCAAGCCUGACCCAGCAACGCCGCGUGAAGGAAGAAGGCCCUCGGGUUGUAAACUUCUUUUAUCAGGGACGAAACAAAUGGCGGUACCUGAUGAAUAAGCCACGGCUAACUACGUGCAAGCAGUCGCGGUAAUACGUCGGUGGCAAGCGUUAUCCGGAUUUACUGGGUGUAAAGGGCGUGUAGGUGGGAGGGCAAGUCAGACGUGAAAUUCCAGGGCUCAACCCUGGAACUGCGUUUGAAACUGUUAUUCUUGAGUGAUGGAGAGGCAGGCGGAAGUCCGGGUGUAGCGGUGAAAUGCGUAGAUAUAAGGAGGAACACCAGUGGCGAAGGCGGCCUGCUGGACAUUAACUGACGCUGAGGCGCGAAAGCGUGGGGAGCAAACAGGAUUAGAUACCCUAGUAGUC